GAGAGAGAGAGGCCGAAAGAGGAAGAGAGAGGGAAUUCAAGAAUGAAUGAGAUUCAAAGAGGGGAGAUACAGAGAUACAAGGUUGCUGGAAGCAGCCGAAAGAGAGAGAGAGAGAGUUCAACCCAAGGAAGAAGAAGAAAAGAAGAAAGUUUGUGGGAUAUCAAAAUUCAAGUUAAAAAUUAUGGAAAAUUCAUCAUGAGGUGGACGUCCAAGGCCUUAUAUCGACUUAACCCACUUGAGCAAAUUGAGCAACAAGGAUAGAGAAAGUUUCGGAGUCUACCCAUGUCAGUCUUUUGAAGAGCUUCCGGAAUGGGACAAGUUAGGCUCGAGUAGCGCCAAGAAAAUCAGCCCCUUAGCUUUGUUAGAGUUUUGUAUUUUGCUGAGUUUUCAAUGUAUGCAUGUGAGAUAUAUAAGAUUUGUAUAUGUAUAUAAAUUAUUAUUGUUUUUAAAUGUUUUAAUUAUUUUAGUCAUCA